GUAAGUUGACUGAUGUUAUUUAUCCAACCCUUAUGUUACCAGGUAAGUUGACUGAUGUUAUUUAUCCAACCCUUAUGUUACCAGGUAAGUUGACUGAUGUUAUUUAUCCAACCCUUAUGUUACCAGGUAAGUUGACUGAUGUUAUUUAUCCAACCCUUAUGUUACCAGGUAAGUUGACUGAUGUUAUUUAUCUAACCCUUAUGUUACCAGGUAAGUUGACUGAUGUUAUUUAUCCAACCCUUAUGUUACCAGGUAAGUUGACUGAUGUUAUUUAUCCAACCCUUAUGUUACCAGGUAAGUUGACUGAUGUUAUUUAUCUAACCCUUAUGUUACCAGGUAAGUUGGCUGAUGUUAUUUAUCCAACCCUUAUGUUACCAGGUAAGUUGACUGAUGUUAUUUAUCCAACCCUUAUGUUACCAGGUAAGUUGACUGAUGUUAUUUAUCUAACCCUUAUGUUACCAGGUAAGUUGACUGAUGUUAUUUAUCCAACCCUUAUGUUACCAGGUAAGUUGACUGAUGUUAUUUAUCCAACCCUUAUGUUACCAGGUAAGUUGACUGAUGUUAUUUAUCCAACCCUUAUGUUACCAGGUAAGUUGACUGAUGUUAUUUAUCCAACCCUUAUGUUACCAGGUAAGUUGACUGAUGUUAUUUAUCUAACCCUUAUGUUACCAGGUAAGUUGACUGAGAUCAUAUUGUAAUUUGGGCCUACAACAACAACCAGGAAAGAGGAGAGUGGUUGAAAAGACUGAUGUGACUUUUGUACUCUCAGUUCCAUUCAAUGAGCUUUACUGGCAUGGUAAGUCAAUGAGAUGUAUUGUAAAAGAGAACUGUUGUUUCUUUUGAUGAGGCUUAAUCCCUCUCCUCUCCUCCCUUCUUUUUCCCUUCUUCUCUAUCCUCUCUCUCUCUCUCGUUCCACUGUCAAGGGCUGUCUGUCUCCCUCUAAGGCUUUUCCUCCCUCUCUCGUUCUAGUACUGAGGGAUUUGUCAGGAUGGUGAGAGCAUGACGUCAGCCCCUCCACUCCAACGCCAGCCCUGCCAUGCUGGUGCCACUCUCUGAGGAUGAUGUGACUUGUCACAGGUC
rnacentral:lncRNA from 1 species